CCCAAAAUCCCUUUCGCCCAACCAACCUAAUCUCCACCACCAAACUCGACCCAUCUCUCCUAUUCUCCACCUUACCUGAUAUCAGCAACUUCACCCAAACACCACCACCACCUCAACAAUGGCAAAACAACAACAUUCAACUACACCCAAAAUAACUCCAACCCGAUUCCAGUCAACUUCAACACGACACCAACAUGAAACCGUAUCAAUAACAAUAUCAGCAAACAAUAAUUUCAAUGACAAUAUCAACGUUAACAACAACCUCAAUACAAUGACCCGAAAACCCAACGCACCAAUGACACCUCAAUCUAUUCUCUUUAAAUUUUCCAAUUUGAAAUUCAAAUUUUUACUAAUUAGUAUAAAUCCAGCUCACUCAUUCAAAAUCUUAUCUAAUUUUCAAAUUCUAAUUCAAUUCCAGCUCACUCAUUCAAAACCUUAUCCAAUUUUCAAAUUCUAAAAUCCCACAUUGAAAUCCCUUCUCGAAAUCCUCAAAUUUGAAGCCUAUAUAAACCUCUACUAUUUUCUUUUCUUGGGUUAACGUUUUUACAGUGGAGAGAACCCUCAAAGGCCCAAAAGAAGCUUGGGAUUUCUUAAUAAGAAACCCCCCAUUAUUCUGGGUCCUUUGAAAAUUAUUUCGAGGAAUUGUAAUUUUAGUUUUAUUUUGUUUGACUCUGAUAGAUUUAAAGUUAGGAGAGUUGGUGAAGUCGUUGUCAUCUCGUUGUCCCGAUUGCUGCUCUGGAACAGGUAAACAUAUCGUUCUCUUUGUUAAUCUCUUCUUCUUCAUCUUCUUCUUUAUGUUAGUAUUUUUUUUGCGUAACUGGUGGAAUUGUAUGCUGUAUAGGGACUUGAAGGCUAUAGGAUUUUUAUGUGGUAUGCUGGUUAUUCUGUUAAGCAAAUAGUCUUGUUUUGGUCGUUUUCCUUUAAUUUAUUCUAUCUUGGUUGAAUUGUUCAUCUGUCUCUUUGAGGUAAUCUUGGUUGUGAAAUCAAGAGUUAUCGCGCCUCUUGAUUGAGGAGUAACAUGUAAAGUCUAUGUAAACACACCUAGAGGCUCCAAUUGAUUUCUUGUAUCAAUUUGGAGUUUUGAACAGUAGCUACAUCGGUCUUUCUCUUGAUUUGAUUUCUCUAUUUUAUGAGCAAGGAGGGUUGAAAUGAACUCUCCGGUAGUUUAUUUUUUCAUCUAUAAGACGGUGUAUUGUGAGCAAUAAUAUCACUAGUAUCUUCAUGUCCUUUUCUGCGUUAACCACAGAUGCUAUGCUAAUGUUGCAGAUUAAUUGAUUAAGUCAGCUUUCUUGUUCCUUUACCGUUAAGUUUAUGAAAAAGUUUUACCAGAUUGAACAUAGGCUAAAAAAGAGUUAUUUGUGAUGCCCAUAAACUGCUUGUAUUAUCUUACUUCGAAUAAAGGUUAAGCUAUACUUUGGGAUGUUUUCUAAGUCAAUCUUGACCUCAUCAAGCUUUGAGUAUUAAAACUUGCUUGAAUCUCUCCGAUUGUCAUGUAUGCGUUUAUUUUGUAUGUUAUGUUUAAUAUAUUAAAUCAAAUGCGUUUAUUCUUGUAUGGUAAGUCUAAUAUUUUAAAUCGCCGAUUGAAUAAUUUUAAGCUCUAAGGCUCCUAUCUUGUUAAUAUUGGCUAAUGAAGUAUUCGGGUAGUUGAGUGUAGAAUAAAAAGGUGUGAGUCCUUUCUCCAUGUUGGUUUUUUUGUGCCAUUGUUUUAAAGUAUGUGAUUAUUAUGGUCAUUAUGGUUUGUGAUCUGUACCUUAAAUACGUGAUUAUUAUGGUUUGUUUAAAUUGACAUGUGAUAUAUUAUUUUGCUCGUUGUCCUAAUAGUGAACACUUUUUAAUCCUUAUCUUUUAUGUCUUUUGCAUGAACUCAUCUUGAACAAGUUCAAUUGGACUCCCCUUUCCUUCGCAUCCAAACUCUAUCGAGUCAUGCCUCAUUAAAGGCCAACAAAUGAACUGUAUACACUGUAUACAACAGAUAUACGGGUUUUCCAGGUGGAAGUGGCUGGUAGACGUCGACAUAUGAUGCAUAAUGAAGCUGGAAGCAAAUAUACAGCCAUUUACAUGCUGAUAUACGGUGAGUAUACAAAAACUACAAGGAUAAAAGACAGAGAUAUACAGCUGGUAUACACAGCUGAAAGAGGGCUGAAAAAGGUCCAUUUAAUCGGGCCCAAAACCAAGGGUGUCCAGAUUUAAACAUGGCCAUAAAGGGGCCCAAAUCUCAUCCUUUCUUCGUUUAUUUUUUUGAAAUUGAUUUGAUUAUUUAUUUAUAAUUUAAUUUAAUCAAUUUAGAUGAAUCCUCGGGAAGCAAUUUUAUGUUGAAAUUAUUUAUUUUAUUUGGAUAUUUAAUAUUUUUAAUUCCUCUACUUAGGCGAACUAAUUUUUUAAAAAUAACUUGAGAAUUUUUUUUCAUAAUUAUUAAUAGUUUAAAUCCACAUUUAAGAAGUUGGGUUAAUCAUUUAGCCCAAAGUCUUAAUCCAGAUAAAAUUGUUAAAGUUAGAAUUAUUUUGAAACUUUGUGCUUAGUUUAUUUUAUUACUUAGAAUAAAUUAAAUGGAUUAGUAGCAAAUAAAUCCUAUUUAUUCGAAAUAGGAUUUUUAAAAUAAAUUCAAGAUUUCUCUAAAACAAGUUCAAGAUUUUUAUAACUUAAGAAAUGUUUUCAAGUAUAGCCAAACAAGUUAAAUCAGCCGGGAACCACACUUUAUAGAUUUUGGAAAGUGCCUAACACCUUAUUUUGAAUUUACUUGAAGUCUUACCUAGACUCUGCUUUUUUUUUUUUUUUUAAAAGGUUUUUAUUUCAAAAUUACCUUUUUAAAUGGUUUCCUAAUUUUCCUAGAAUUAAGUGGCGACUCUAAAUUAUUUUCAAAAUAAAAUCAAAUUAUUUUCUUUCUUUUUUUGCCAUGAAGUUAUGCAAUAUUUUUGACUUUUCAAAAAUAGAUCGUAACAGUACUGACCGUCUCUAGAUGCUACAUCAUUUUAUGAUGUAGGUUUGGUGGCAUUUUCUCGUGGUUCUGUGAAAUAUUAGGAUUGUUCGAGACAACUUCAACUUUGGUGAGCCCUUCAUUCUCUGGAUGACAUAGUUCUUUUGAUGUCCAGACCUUGUCUCAAUGUUUAUGAUAUAGCCUUGGCCUUGUCUUGACAUAAUUAUUAAGUCAGGUUAUGUAGAGGCUCAUUGAUCCAGGUAGAUGUUAGUUUUAAAUGUUUUUAAUAUAUAUCAGUCUUGUUCAGUUACUUUGAAAUUUCGUCAUUUUUAUGUUUUAAUGAUUUAAUUGUAUGUAAAAUGGGUUUCUGAAGGAACCCUUAGGGGCUGUACUACAAGUAAGGGACCAAGUCCCUCAAAGUCAUUCUUAAGCAUUAGAAAAGUAAAGCAAUUACGUGGUGCUGGAAAAAUAAAGGCAAUGCGGGAAAGAACAACACAAUUUUUACGUGGAAAUCCAACAUGUGAAAAACCAAAACUUGCCCUCACAAGCACUAAAACAGUCCACUAUAACCAACCUCUUGAUUACAGACUCGACUGUGAACCUAAAUCUAGGUUCCUCUUAUUUGCAACACCUCUAUUGCAAGCACACCUUGACACCUCUGUCGAGUUUCCUUUCAAAACUGAUUAACUCUAACCAACUACAAGCUCAGAUAACUCUACCUAAGCAACUCUCUCAAAAGAAAAUACUACUCUUAUAAGAUAAGUAGUUCGAUUACAAAUCAUUACUCACUCAAGAACUAUUUCAAUUUAGGCACACAUAAAGCUAAGCACUUGAGCAAUAUUGAAAUGGGGUUUUGUAGACUCUCUUCAUUUUUUGUAAUUUAUGCAGAAACCGCUUGUUGAAGAAGCGUCUAUUUUCUUUUAUAGCUGGGUGAUGAUUAAGACUUGAAAGGUCAUUGGACCUGCUGUCCAAGUCAAUACAAAAUAGCACAAAAUAGCACUUGUAAGUUUGUUACAUAAGAUGACAAAAUUGUGCAGAAGGCGCGUGCCAGCCGUAUUAUACCUUACACAUCCAGGGAUUUGGUCCUCGUAGUUUAGCUGCUCAUCAUCAAAACUACAUAUAGCAAUUUUCCCAUCUUUUUGAUGAUGAUAAACAAAACCAUACAGUUUGAGAAUCAGUGCACAUUCAUCACAUCUAAUCAGAGUGAUUACCACUUGAGGAUUAAUGUUCCCCUUAUCAUCAUACUUUCUCUUUCAUCAUGCAACACAGGAACUUGGUCCUUUGUUGUCAUUUGCAACAAACCCCCUGAUUUCUUCCUCCUGUCAUCAUGCACCUUAAUCAUUUAGUGCAUUAACAUACUUCCCCCUACCAACAUGAUUCCCAAUUCUGUAGUUUAGCAUAUUAGAAUUCCUAAUUCUGUAGUUUAGCACAUCUUUUCAGCACAUAUAAUCAUAUACUUUUGGUCCUUAUAUAUGAAUUCAGUUGUUGCGCCCAAGCGCACAUACAAGUGUAAGUGGUCUCACCAAAUAAUACAGUGGCCUUAUAAAAAGACAAAUAUCGAUGCAUCAGAGACUUAUUUUAAUAACUAUCCUAUUCUUGUUCAACUAUUAAGAUUAAUUACUACAAAGGUAACCCAGAUAGUUUUGAAAGUUUAUAAUUAAAAGUAAACUAACUUAAUGUGGAAAAGUAAAGACUUUGGAUAAUCAAUGGAUGAAAAUCGAGGGUUAAAGCACUACGAACAAUCAUACUAAGCUAUUGAACUUCAUUGGUUAGAUUACUUAUCUUGGUUGUUGAUUCACAAGGUUGAUUUUACGAUUAUGGUCUCCCGACCUCUAAUCACUUAUUUAACUUAGCCCUACAAUUACAUCAUUGAGAGGGGAUGUGAGAACUAAGCUAAACACAUUUCUAUUUCAUCCCAUAGUGAACCAAGUAAGGCUUCUAGGUAUAUUCCUAUCCAAGAGGCUAAUUCAAAUCCUUUUAGACCUUGCUCUAUUCGCCUUUACGUUCUAUCCACUCGUUCCCCUUUCUGGGGCUCAUAAGAUGACAAUAGAUGUAUUAUAAGCAUUGAGAAUUCUUAAAAUAGUAAUAUCAAGUAUAAAUAAACAACCAAAUACAAUAAUCAAUCCAAAUAAACUCAAUUCAUAGCAAUCGUAAUCAUGUUCUUAUCUUUAAAACCGGAAAGGGGGCCUUUAGCCACUAAUGGACAUAAUUGUAAUCCAAAUAAAUGAAUACAUGAUAUAAUUCAUGAAUAAAAUAAAGUAAAUCAUUAAAAAACCUAUUUUAAGUGUUUAGAAUCCCCUCUCCAAGCUCUAAAGAUGUCCAAAAGUCUAUAACAAUGUGUACACGUGUUGUAUUUAUAGUAGCAAAGUUUAGCCAUGUAUGGAGUAGGCCUCGCGCCGUACCACCCAUUAUAAGGGACUAGGGGUCGCGAUGUGCCACUUAUUCCACUGGAGUGAAACUUGCAAUGCGCCACUUAGUCCAAUGGAGUGGGGGUUGCUCUGCCCUUCCACCCCGAGGCUUCACUGAAAAGUCCAUCUUGACGUUUAACCUUUGUCUUGUGCAUUUGUCUUUCAUACCAAGCCUUGUGGUGUUGUUUCCACUUGAAUUUCAGCUUGUUAAUCAUACAAAUAUCAUUAUAAUCAUCUCACCAAGGAUCCUAUUGCAUCAAACACCAUGGAUUAGAGCUCAACACAACACAAUAUCAAGAACAGUGAACUAGAAACUUAAGCUAGGACUAGUGUCGUCCUUUAAAUCUUUAGCUUUGUGUUUUGAGUCUUUGAUUAUUUCAAUUGCACUUUGAACACUAAAAAUAAGUUGUUCCACACAUAAUUAAACAAUAAUAAUCUUAGGAACUCAUUAUACAUAUUAGAAUCCAUCACGAUCAACUAGACAAACACCUAGCUCAACCUAAUGAUACUAGUUUUCUUGUUGGAACUCUAAGUGAUCAAUUUAAGUAUAAACUUAUUUGAAAGACACCAUAAAAAUUGUAUUCACAUAAUUAAACACUUAGAUGCUCAAUUAUAUCACCAUUAACACAUUAGGCACACAAAAAGUCCUCAAAUCAAGGCUAAAUAAGCUAGGAUAACAACACUGAGGUGCAUAAAUCCACCUCAGAUCACCAGUGUCCCCCCUUUUGGCAUCAUUGAAAAGGAUUGAUAGUAAACCAUAAGUAAAUAUAAGUGCAAGUUAAUUAACUCAUAGACACUGGGGCAAAACUAACAUGAAGACAACUUUAAAUAAGGAGAUCAAUUAAAGAUCACAAAUCGAAUUCAUUCAUUAGCAAAGUUUUAGUUACAGUAAAAUCAUACAUAAAAUAAUGCAUAAAACACACUGUCUUUAAGAGCCAACGCAAAGAGAAAAAUAGGAAACUGACACUGAAUAGUUCUAGGGAUAGGGAUAAUGAGACUUAAGUAGAGGGUUUUUUUUGGGAAAAGGACUUAAGCAGCAUCUCCAUUCUUGCAUUUUCGACAUUGAGAGUAUCCAACAACUAUUUGGUGAAAGCCUUUACCUCAGCAUUCAGUUCCUGAACUUCACCAGUCAGUUUUGCUACCUUUGCCAAGAGUGUUGCAUUUUUGGCUGCAAGCUCAUUUGUGGUACCUGGUCCUUUAGAGGACAACUUUUGAUUUUGCAACUUUAGGUGCACUAUUUCAACAUCUUUAGAAGCCAGUUUGAUCCUUAAUUACUCUAUGUCCAUUCCCAACUUUUCUUGAAUAUCUAGCAAUACAUACACUUGAGACACCGAUCUAACUUUUCCCUCUAUGUAUUCAUUCUCCACAUGUGUUGUCAGGCCUAUCAUCUGUUUGGCUGUCCCAGGUGUUCCCUUAGUUCCACAUACACUAUAAUGUUCAAAUACCUUGUUCAAAGAAUAUCCAUAUGGCAUUCCAUGUUUUUUUUUCUUCAUGAAUUACCUUAUGAAUGUGCCCUAUUAUUAGAGUUAGAAGAUUUAUAAAUUCAAACUUACUCAAGGACUCAAUCAAGAACAAGUCAACACUAGAGGCAAUUGUUCUUUUUCCAGACAUUGGCAACAGGACCUUGUUGAUGAACUCAAAUGCCAACUGAUAAUCACUUUUUAGGAACUUAUUUUUUAACUGCAGCUGUUGAGGUCCCACCUACCUUUGAUGCCUCAAUCAUGAAUUCAGUGGUUGGUCGUUGAUUUACGAUAGUUCUUACCCCUACAACAGGUGCAUCCAGGAUCAUUUCUAGAAUUUCUUCAUCCAGCUUAAGAACUUUUUCUUGCACUUGAGCAGUCAAACUCAAUCCAUCAUCUAAG
rnacentral:lncRNA from 1 species